rnacentral:ncRNA from 1 species
ACACUCUGGAAAGAGAUUUAUCUCGCCGAUGGAGCAAAACUCUCAGGCAAAAAUACAGAUGGGGU